rnacentral:rRNA from 1 species
UUCAUUGACCUCUGACCUCAAAUCAGGUAGGACUACCCGCUGAACUUAAGCAUAUCAAUAAGCGGAGGAAAAGAAACUAACAAGGAUUCCCCUAGUAACUGCGAGUGAAGCGGGAAAAGCUCAAAUUUAAAAUCUGGCGGUCUUUGGCCGUCCGAGUGUAGU